rnacentral:rRNA from 1 species
UACGGAGGGUGCGAGCGUUGUCCGGAAUCACUGGGCGUAAAGGGCGCGUAGGCGGCGCGGGUAGUCAUCGGUGAAAGUUCAGGGCUCAACUCUGAAUCGGCCGGUGAUACUCCCGUGCUCGAGCACUGUAGAGGCAGGUGGAAUUCCGGGUGUAGCGGUGGAAUGCGUAGAGAUCCGGAAGAACACCAGUGGCGAAGGCGGCCAACUGGUCCACUACUGACGCUGAGGUGCGAAAGCGUGGGGAGCAAACAGG